GGGAAUUAGGUGAAAAUGACAUCACUUCAGUACAAGAAACUAAUUGGUUACCCUACAGAUGGACAGAAACCUUAGAUCUACAUGGAAAUCAACUUGACACACUACAGAAGGAUUCAUUUGAAGGGCUCAUCUUAGUAAAGAAAUUGAAUCUUUCCGGAAAUGUCAUCACAAAAAUUGCAGGCUAUACAUUUCAGGCUUUACCUUUCCUGGAAAUUCUCGAUCUUUCUGACAAUAAGGUAUCAACGCUGCUGGAUGGAACAUUCAAAUCCUGGCAUGGAUUACGUUUCUUUAGACAAUUGAAUUUAAAAUCCAACCCACUAGAAGUAAUACAGAAUGAUGCAUUUGAUAAAUUGCCCUCAAUGCA